UUUUAGCCUCUCAGCCUUCUCUCUGCCUCUUAGCUUUCAUUUUAAAGUAUAUAAUUAAAGCAUUUAUAUAAAAGGAUGGCUGAAAGCCUGUGUAGAUGGCUCAGGGAUAAAAGUGCUUGCUGGAAAAGCCAGAUGACCUGAGAUUUCAAUCCCUGGAACUUGAGGCAGAUGGGAGGCGGAGCCAAGAGAACUGUCUGGAAGCUUGCAGAUAAACUCAAUUGUUUCUAAACAAUUGAUUGCCUCACCUGCUUAUGAAGUCGUUCUUGGCCUGUGAGAGGUAGCAUGCCUAAGGACGUCCUGGAUUUUCCCUGCAUUGUCCUUCCACUGGAGGUGAGGUCCCCGGAUAAAUGUGGGGAGGCAAGCAUAGUGCUCCGGUGUAAUAUUUUUAUUACUCAAGGACCUGGUGCAGAUUUGGGAGUACAUCAGCCACCACCCCCAGAAGAGGUGGAGAGACAGAACAAUGCACAAAAGAGGAAUGAGGAGGGUGCAUGGAGUGAACCCCAGCUCCAGUUGAAACAUCAGUACAAACUCCUGGUCCCAUACGGUGUGAAUUGGUACCACUUUCAGGAAAGCAAUUUGGCAGAAUGCUUCAAGAUUCAUAAAAAAAGAUCAUGUCUAUGAUUGGAAGUUUUUAUACCUGGUAAUCUUUCUUAAGUGGAGAUUGUACAGAGGGGAAAACAUUGUAUGUAUGAGUGUGCCACACAAGAGAGCUACAGUUACAACAGCGAAAGGAUGAUUUGGGACACUGGCUAAUGAACUAAUAUACAGGCUUUGAAGACUGACAACAUCAAAAUCAGAACCGUAGAUUUAAAUGGUGUACCCAGCACAAAAUAUGCACAUAACUCCAAGGGCUGAAGAAGAAUUCACAAAAUGACAGCCAGAUGGAAUUAAGAAUAGCUUAAAACAUCUGUAUUGUGGAACACUACAGACCUCACAGAAGCAGACAAGACAAACAGACAAGCCAGGGACUUCUUUUUCUUCCUGCUCUACGAUCCCAGAACUUGACGUGAUUCCCCCAUUGCUCUCUUCAACCUCCUUCACCUCAUACAGAUCACGUUCAUCUAUAGCAUUUGGAAAUAAGUUUCUGAUAUGCUAUCUCUAAACCCCCGAAUUCUACAUCAAGUAUUUCCAUGGAAUGAAGCCUUUCUCUUGUAUACCUUCUGUCCAUGGGUUACAACCAGGAAGUCAACACCAUAACCACCGUGGUCAUGUGACCUGAAGUCAUAUGUGUCUUGGCACUCAGAAGGACUCCAUGUCUGACUUAAUGCCUUCUUGUUAAAAUUUUGAAGUUCUUAAUAUGUUUGGAAGAAGGUGCUCACAUUUUCACCCUGGGCCCUACAAAUUCUAAAGCUGGUCUGGACAUGGUAAUUUAAUAUAUAGCCUUUAAUCAGACUUGAUGACUUUUUUUUUUUUACACAAGAAAUGGUCACUGAGAGUGUAGUAUGGCUGCAGAGUUCUUGCUGAGCUUACACAAAACCCUGGGUUUGAUAACACAUAAAACUUGGCAUAGUGGUGCACUUGAGAAGCUGAGGCAGGAGAGUUGCUACAAGUUUGGAGGCUGGCCUGGCUACAGAUUGAGUUCUAUGCCAGCAAGGGAUUCCAUUGAGACCAUCUCAAAGAGUAAACAAAUGGGGGUCUUGAAAGUUGGAUUGGUAGUAAGAUAUUUGCUUUUCUCUCAGAAGACCCAGGUUUGGUCGCAGAAUCCACAUGGCUGCUUACAAUCACCUUUAACUCUAAUUCUAAAGGAUCUAAUCCUCUUCUGAUCUCCCUGGGUACCAGGCACAUAUGUGGUGCACAUAUGUACCUGCAGGCAGACACUUAGAUACAUACAAUGAAUAAAUCUAAAGAAAUCAAACAAAGAAGUUGUACAAUACGGUCACAUUAAUGACAUUUCUUUCUCUUUACAUUUGUGUGUGUGUGUGUGUGUGUGUGUGUGUGUGUGUGUGUGUGUAGGCAUGCGUGCACUGUGGUAUGCAUGUGGAGGUCAAAAGAUAAUCUUCAGGAGUCAUUUAUUUCCUUCCUUUGUGUGGGUAAUAGCCCAGGUAUCCAACUUGGUUUGUCAGGCUUGGCAUCUUGCUGGGCCUCGUAACAUUUUUAUACAUGUGUACACAUUGGUACAAUGUACUUUAGUUUCACCCACCCCUCUAUUUUCCUUUAUUAUCAUUUAAUCCCAAUAGCUUACACACAAACUUCCCUGCUCCUAGAUCCCAUAUAUGAAAAAAAAUUGACAUCUGUCUUUGUAAACUUGGCUCAUUUCAUUUGACAUGAUGAUCGCUAGUUCUUUCUACUUUCUUGAAAAAAAAAAUCCUCAAAAUGUAUUCUUUUUCAUAGCGAAAAUUCAUUGUAUAUGUAUAUACACAUACAUCAUGCACAUGGAUAUGUGUUCCUACACACACACACACACACACACACACACACACACACACACACACACACAUUAAUAUGUUGCUUGUGGCACAAUGACUGACCAAGGCAGUAUAAAGAAGGAAAGGUGUAUUUUGGCUCAGUGUGAGAGUAUAGUCUGUCAGGCAGAGGAGCAUGAGGAAGGGCAGCUAUGGCUGUGGAAGUGGGAGUGUGAGUUAUUUGGUCACAUUGCCAAGAAGCAGAGAGCGAUGGAUGCAGAUGCUAGCUUGCUUUCUCCUCUCUAUUUAGUGUGGGACCCCAGUUUCUGGAUCGUGGCACCCCAUAAUUAUGAUGCAGCUUCCUCUUCAGCUCAUCCUAUGUGGAAAAGCUCUCACCUAGAGGAUUGUUUCCUAAAUGUACCACCAGUUUACAUCAAGAUUAGCCAUUACUACAUACACAUACACACACACACACACACACACACACACACACACACACACACACACACAAACACACGCACAUUUUAAAACCCAUUCAUCUGUUGAUGGGGUUCUGGGAUGAUUUGACUCUUUAUCUUGACUAGUCUAAGUAGUUGAACAAAAACACAAGUGUGCAGGCACUGCCGUAUUGUACUCAAAUCCUUCAGGAAUCACCCAGAAGUGGUAAACCUGGGUAACAUAGAAGUUCCAUUCUUAUUUGUGUGUGUAUGUUGUAUGGGUGUGUAUGGGUGUGAAUGGGUGUGAAUGGGUGUUCAUAUACGUGCAUGAAGGUGGAGGCCAGAGGUUGACAUCGGUUGUGUUCCUCAAUUGCUUACCAGCCUAAUCUUGGAGAGAAGGCAUCUCAGUGAACAUGGAGCUCACCGAUUGGCUAGGCAAACAACAAGCUCCUGAGGACGUCUUGCACUUGCUUCCCACCAGGGGGAGGACAGGCAUAUCACUGUGCCCUGCUUUUUAUGUGGGUGACUGGGAUGAGAACUUAGGUCCUUAUGCUUAUGAAGCAAGUACUUUACCAACCGAACUGUCUCCUCAGGCUUCCUUUUUAAUUUUUCAGAUCGUUCCCUACUAGUGGCUAAAGUGACUGGAACAAUGACCUUGUGACCCUGUCUGCAUUUAUUUUAAAAGUAAUUCAAAACCACCUGUUACACUCAAUUAUUAGACAAUUCAGCUAGUUAGUAUUAUUUUCUCAAUCUCCCCGUAUCUUCUGUGAAACCAUUGACAGUUUUGAAGAACACAGGAGAACGUUCCUCAAUUUGAGACUUCUCAUAUUCCUCAUUACCAGAUUUAGGUGAAGCAUAUUUUAUAGGAUUAUUGUGGAAGUAGUGUGUGUUUUUAUUAGUGUUUUGUACCAGCAUAUACACAAUCUGAACUUAUAUCAUGAAUAGAAAUGUUCUUUGAUCACCCAGGAAUCUGUCAAAUAUUAUUUCCCCCCGAGAUACACUGAGUAUCUAAAUAUCUUUUCAUUUCCAACUCGCCCAGUAGUUUCUAGCAUCAGCCGAUAAAUUCUGCCUGAUGAAUUAUGAUGAUUGACAAGUAAUAUCUUUUCCAAUGUCAAAAUGUCUCCUACUUUUGACAACUAUCUUUCAUUUCUUCAUGGCCAUUACAAUCAUUACAUUCAUUGGCUUUCUUCUUUAAGGGAUUUCUCUUUACCACUGACACGUGACUCCACAGGUUAUUAUCUACUAGUGCUAUUGACUGGGAUGUUUAAUCAUUUCCGAUUAUUACAUUAGUAUAAGCCCAUCACACUCAACCCAGUGUCUUUACACAUAUCACCCCAUACUUGCUUGGUACUUUCUAGCCUACAGUGUUGCAGUCUCAUCAUACUGGCCUUGGAAUCAACUCAUUAACUAAGCAAUGCUCGUUUAGUUCUGUAAGUCGCAUGGUAUGCAGAUAUUAGGGUGUGGGUCCAGGUACACUCAUUGCUACAAGAAUGUCGUGCUUCUGUAUCAUAGACUGGGAUGCUAAUGUACACACCCACUCAUGGGUGAGUGUGUCUAUAUAUUUACUUAGCUCUUUCAUUUAUCUGAGAAAUCUGUAACCAGAAACUUACACUGCUGUCUCUAAUUCAUUCUAGUUCACAUUGCAAGGCUCAGUUUCCUUUCCCCCUUCCCUAUUUGUUUUUCCCCCAACAUAAUUUUUAUUAAUUACUUGUGAAUUUCAUAUAAUGCACCCCAUCAUACUUAAUUCCCAUCCCUUCCAGGUCCACCCUUCUACCCUUGUACCCCCAAAGAGUAAUACACCAAGUCCAACUUAUGUUGCCCAUAUACUCAUUGGGCCAACUCUUUAAAGAAAACUGAGGCCCACCCCAUCCCCAUGCCAGGAGCCAACUGUGAAGGUCUACAUCUUUAUCACAAUUUUAAGAUCUCCCUUUUAAGGUCUUCCUAUGUAGGAUGGUGUUAUUAUGCAGGUGAAGGCAGGUACAAGGUAGAAUGAGGCCUGUCAUUGGAUGAGACGGCAGGAUAGGCAGGAGAAAAUUUUUAAAGGGAGGAGACUGGAGUGAGGGGAGGAGAGAAGCAGCCAAGAGAACAUGGAGGCAAAUGUUGAUACCUCUCUGCACAUUUACAGGUUGUUAUGAAUAUUCUUCAGGGAUGGAUGUAUACAGGACUUUGUGUGUCUAGAUGGGCAAACUGUAUGUUAUCUAGGUGAGCAAUUAUAUCUUACUAAUUGGAUCAGAGGUUAUUGUGUUGUGUGUUUUUAAUGUGGCGAUUUAAGUCUAAGAGAGUAUGUGGUGGCUGGAGACACUGGGCCGCCACGGCAUUGGGAUGUAUAUUUCUUACAUGGUGGCAACCUGCCUUGGGAACUAGAUGGGUAGAGAGACUGUUGCCAGGCUCAGAGAGAAGCCAUCAGCAGUGUGAUAUGGGAUAGAACAAAGCGGGUGAGACCGAGAUGAAGAUGUCUACCAGAUAUCUUGGGGCACCGCGGUGUCGGACCUUGUGUAACUUUUUGUCUCACUGACAUCGUCAUCUGAAAUGAUUAAGCAUCCCAGUAAACAGUGGCAUUAAUAGAUAAUAAUCUGCUGAGUCACAUGUCAAUGAACCAAUCGGCUAAUCGGGUUUUCUUCCCUUUCCUGAUCUUGAAGUUGUGUUGAACUUUGGAUUUAGUCCUGGUCACGUUGGCUGCAUAAGAAUUUCUAAGCAGCAUUUCGAACACUCUACAUUCGGUCUCCCCUGGUUUCCUAUCCACUUGACUUGUUUUAAUCAGGUUUCAAAAUUUUCCAUCUUUUUUCCCCUAUUAUCUCUUCACCUCUACCUUUUGUAG
ensembl:lncRNA